AAAGCGGGAGUUACGGCUGAAACAUGUUAUUGAAGCUUGUCCGCGAGUUGAGCAGCAAGAAGCAAAGAAGAAAAGUAACAUUGAACAAAAUCAUUUUCGAACUUAUAAGAGUGAAAAGUUGCAUGAGGAACAUUUUGCUGAAGAGAGUGCAAAAAAGAAACAAACUGUUAAGAAGAUAACAGGAGAGUCUCAAAGGUGGCAAGAGGAUGACAGAAAACAGAGAUUGCUACAGGGAGAAAAACUGCAACACAGACAGCAAGAUGAACUGCAGCAGCAAUGUAGGCUGGCUGAAGAACAGUGGACAGUUGAACCAGAGAGAAAACAACAGCAUGAUUUACAUUUGGCUGCAGGCAAGGAGUGGGAAAGAAUGGAACAGGAGAGCUUCCUGGCAGAGAGGUAUGUAGCAGUAUUGUCAUAGCUGCUUACAUUAUGUUUCCUCAUUUUCCCAGGAAGUGUUUUAAUGCAAAAUCCUCUCAAACUCUAGAUCAAGCAGCUCAACUGCAUGCUCCAGCUGGGGUCUGAUUAGUGGUCUUGUAUUUUAUGUAUUGGCCAAUGAAAUAUUCUGCCUGCCUUAGUAAAUUGAAGUAUGUUAGUCAGAGAAGCAAGGAAUUGAAGUCAAUGUCGUCUAACUACCUAUUGUUUCUGAGGAGAGAAUCAGAAAUAAUUCUUUGUAAUCCAUGUGGAUUAAGGUAUUUGGACAUUUAAAUAGUUAAAUUGAUGAUAUUCAAGUGACAAGUUUAAUCAGUUGUCGUCUCAGCAGUGAGGGUCAGGUGUUAUGAUGACUGAAAGGUUCCUGCAAUGUAUUUUCACAAGGAAACGACUAUACACAGGUGGGGAGAAUAGUGAGUAAUCUAUCUAUAUC